rnacentral:lncRNA from 1 species
UUAUUUUAUUUUUAGUUUAAUUUCUGUUUCUGAUUUUUGUUUGUUGUCUCAGGAGUGUAUGAUCACGAGAUCCAAAGGAAAAGAACAUCUUGUACCUUUGAAUUUGGAAAUCGAAAAGCAGCAUAAAAGAGACAACCGCGAAAAGAAGAAGCAAGCAAUGGCAUAGCAACGUAAUAACUUGGAUCUUGAAACCCUUAUGCGAACAGUGACAGACCUUCAGAGGCAGCUAGAUGAAG